rnacentral:misc_RNA from 1 species
ACACACACACACACAAACACACAGCCUAAAAUUUUGUUCCUUUCUGGUUAAAGUAAACAUGAUGUUACAUCUUUGGUAAAGAAAACCAACAACAUAUAAACCAAUCAAUAUGGUAUGCAGAUACACAAAGUAAAUGUGCCCGUGCCUCCAUGGUUCAUUGUUUAAUAUUAUUACAGAAACAGUGAGGAUGGCACUUGCCUUGAGAACAGAGAUCCUUCAAG